UCAAGAACUCGCAAAAGCAACUUCAUUACUUUGUAAUUUUGAUUCCGAAGUGAAUAUCUUUUCAGUUGAAGAUUAUGGAAACUACCUGCGCAGGUUUUUAGGCUAAGUUCAGUUGAAUAUCAUUUAUAAUUCUUAUUUUAAUACAUUUAUGAUUAAUUUUUCUGUUAUGAAAUUUUUAGGUAAUAACAAUUGGUCGGAGAUUAUCAUCCUACUACUAUUUCCUCUUCUCAGCACUACUGAUGAUGACAAUGUGAAUGACAAUCUUGAUCUUCUUGUUGUCCCUCAAUAUGGGAGAAACCCUAACUACACUGGUUAAUUACACUUACUCUUUUGUGUUAUGUUUAAUUGAAUAAAGUGAUGGGUACUUUUACCUAUCGUUCUGUCAAUUAUGUGACUGUCGGUUUGGUUCAAUUCAACUGAUAAAAUCUCUUGAGAUAUAUAAGAGAUUUUAUUUGUUUAUUUACGUGUAUCGUGUAUUCCUGAAAAAGGAAAUAAAUAAAUAAAUAUUGUUGCUUGUCUAUGUGUUAACAUUAA
rnacentral:lncRNA from 1 species